rnacentral:rRNA from 1 species
CUAUACAUGCAGUCGAGCGAACUGAUUAGAAGCUUGCUUCUAUGACGUUAGCGGCGGACGGGUGAGUAACACGUGGGCAACCUGCCUGUAAGACUGGGAUAACUUCGGGAAACCGAAGCUAAUACCGGAUAGGAUCUUCUCCUUCAUGGGAGAUGAUUGAAAGAUGGUUUCGGCUAUCACUUACAGAUGGGCCCGCGGUGCAUUAGCUAGUUGGUGAGGUAACGGCUCACCAAGGCAACGAUGCAUAGCCGACCUGAGAGGGUGAUCGGCCACACUGGGACUGAGACACGGCCCAGACUCCUACGGGAGGCAGCAGUAGGGAAUCUUCCGCAAUGGACGAAAGUCUGACGGAGCAACGCCGCGUGAGUGAUGAAGGCUUUCGGGUCGUAAAACUCUGUUGUUAGGGAAGAACAAGUACGAGAGUAACUGCUCGUACCUUGACGGUACCUAACCAGAAAGCCACGGCUAACUACGUGCCAGCAGCCGCGGUAAUACGUAGGUGGCAAGCGUUAUCCGGAAUUAUUGGGCGUAAAGCGCGCGCAGGCGGUUUCUUAAGUCUGAUGUGAAAGCCCACGGCUCAACCGUGGAGGGUCAUUGGAAACUGGGGAACUUGAGUGCAGAAGAGAAAAGCGGAAUUCCACGUGUAGCGGUGAAAUGCGUAGAGAUGUGGAGGAACACCAGUGGCGAAGGCGGCUUUUUGGUCUGUAACUGACGCUGAGGCGCGAAAGCGUGGGGAGCAAACAGGAUUAGAUACCCUGGUAGUCCACGCCGUAAACGAUGAGUGCUAAGUGUUAGAGGGUUUCCGCCCUUUAGUGCUGCAGCUAACGCAUUAAGCACUCCGCCUGGGGAGUACGGUCGCAAGACUGAAACUCAAAGGAAUUGACGGGGGGCCGAAGAACCUUACCAGGUCUUGACAUCCUCUGACAACUCUAGAGAUAGAGCGUUCCCCUUCGGGGGACAGAGUGACAGGUGGUGCAUGGUUGUCGUCAGCUCGUGUCGUGAGAUGUUGGGUUAAGUCCCGCAACGAGCGCAACCCUUGAUCUUAGUUGCCAGCAUUUAGUUGGGCACUCUAAGGUGACUGCCGGUGACAAACCGGAGGAAGGUGGGGAUGACGUCAAAUCAUCAUGCCCCUUAUGACCUGGGCUACACACGUGCUACAAUGGAUGGUACAAAGGGCUGCAAGACCGCGAGGUCAAGCCAAUCCCAUAAAACCAUUCUCAGUUCGGAUUGUAGGCUGCAACUCGCCUACAUGAAGCUGGAAUCGCUAGUAAUCGCGGAUCAGCAUGCCGCGGUUGAAUACGUUCCCCGGGCCUUUGUACAACACUCGCCCCC